AACGAACGCUGGCGGCAUGCCUAACACAUGCAAGUCGAACGAAGCCUUCGGGCUUAGUGGCGCACGGGUGCGUAACGCGUGGGAAUCUGCCCUUGGGUUCGGAAUAACAGUUAGAAAUGACUGCUAAUACCGGAUGAUGUCUUCGGACCAAAGAUUUAUCGCCCAAGGAUGAGCCCGCGUAGGAUUAGGUAGUUGGUGGGGUAAUGGCCCACCAAGCCGACGAUCCUUAGCUGGUCUGAGAGGAUGAUCAGCCACACUGGGACUGAGACACGGCCCAGACUCCUACGGGAGGCAGCAGUGGGGAAUAUUGGACAAUGGGCGAAAGCCUGAUCCAGCAAUGCCGCGCGAGUGAUGAAGGCCUUAGGGUUGUAAAGCUCUUUACCAGGGAUGAUAAUGACAGUACCUGGAGAAUAAGCUCCGGCUAACUCCGUGCCAGCAGCCGCGGUAAU
rnacentral:rRNA from 1 species